AAUUGGAGGGCAAGUCUGGUGCCAGCAGCCGCGGUAAUUCCAGCUCCAAUAGCGUAUAUUAAAGUUGUUGCAGUUAAAAAGCUCGUAGUUGAAUUUCGGGGUCAGUAGAUUGGUCGUGCCACUGGUAUGUACUGGUCUUACUGGCUCCUCCUUCCUGAUGAACCGUAAUGCCAUUAAUUUGGUGUUGCGGGGAAACUGGACUGUUACUUUGAAAAAAUUAGAGUGUUUAAAGCAGGCUAACGCUUGAAUACAUUAGCAUGGAAUAAUGAAAUAGGACGUUCGAUCUUAUUUUGUUGGUUUCUAGGAUUGACGUAAUGAUUAAUAGGGAUAGUUGGGGGCAUUAGUAUUCAAUUGUCAGAGGUGAAAUUCUUGGAUUUAUUGAAGACUAACUACUGCGAAAGCAUUUGCCAAGGAUGUUUUCAUUAAUCAAGAACGAAAGUUAGGGGAUCGAAGACGAUCAGAUACCGUCGUAGUCUUAACCAUAAACUAUGCCGACUAGGGAUCGGAUGAUGUUAAUUUUUUAAUGACUCAUUCGGCGCCUUACGGGAAACCAAAGUGU
rnacentral:rRNA from 1 species